rnacentral:rRNA from 1 species
GGGUCAGGAGGUUGGUCGUGCCACCGGUACGUACUGGUCUCACUGAUUCCUCCUUCCUGAAGAACCGUAAUGCCAUUAAUUUGGUGUUGCGGGGAAACAGGACUGUUACUUUGAAAAAAUUAGAGUGUUUAAAGCAAGCUAACGCUUGAAUACAUUGGCAUGGAAUAAUGAAAUAGGACGAUCGAUCCUAUUUUGUUGGUUUCUAGGAUUGACGUA